rnacentral:rRNA from 1 species
GACGAAGGGGCUAGCGUUGUUCGGAAUUACUGGGCGUAAAGCGCGUGUAGGCGGUUGUUCAAGUCAGGUGUGAAAGCCUUGAGCUCAACUCAAGAAAUGCACUUGAUACUGAAUGACUAGAGGACCGGAGAGGAUAGUGGAAUUCCAGUGUAGUGGUGAAAUACGUAGAGAUCGGAGGAACACCAGAGGCGAAGGCGGCGACCUGGACAGGUACUGACACUCAACUACGAAAGCGUGGGGAGCAAACAGG